rnacentral:lncRNA from 1 species
UAUUUCACAUCACAUAAUAUUCCUAAAAAAAAGCAUAAGAAUUUCCAAAAUAUACAACAAUGUUUAAUACAUUCCCAAACAAAAUAGUGAGGCUGCACCCCAGUUAUACAUUCCUUUCGUUUUACAAACCCUUGUUAAUUCUAAACUUCGUUCACGAAGGAACUGAGCAUAAAUGCAGUAUUGUCAUGCUCUACUUCCUCUUCAGUUCUUUCAACAUUGUCUUCACCUUGUCAACGUUUUCAUAGCUCAGCAUCUUCAUCAACACUUCUCUUUCAACAAUCUCUUACAACUCGCCGUUCCACUCAACUGUAAUUGAAUCUUCUCUCUAUACUCAAUCUGAAAAAGUUAAGUGUAUCAUCAGGCUGAUACCAAUUGUCUUCACAAAUUCAGAAAAAGAGGAAAGUUGGUGACCAGAGUCUCUGUAAGGAAAAUGAGGAAUGCAGAAGGAGAACUUCAUAGUACUCCACUGAUGAUCGAGCACAUCCAGCUAAAAUGGUCCUUAUAUGAGUGCCAAAAAAUGUCUUUGAAGGUACUGUAGAUUGCUUCAGAGGACAUAAUAUAUUCAGAAUUUAAUACGUCACAACUGUAACGUACUAGAAAGGUGUAAAAGAGAACAUACCUAUCAAAAUCAUAAACAUUCAUGAUCACUCAGUUUAUCUGUAAUACAAAUUUUUGAGAGGAGAUAUAGAUUUAGAUUUGCUCAAUGUACAUCAAUCAAACAAUAUGAAAAAAGAUACAAAUAGUAUAGUUAUCUGGUGCUUCAAUAUUUGACAGAUGAAACAGAGUUCUAAACUCUGCAAACAUGUAAUAAUUCCUUGGAGUGAUGUAUCAAUAGAUAGAGGGAUCAUCCUAGAGCAAUGUAGCCAACACAAUCUAGUAUAUGCACUAUAUCCUGAUUAGUCAAGAACUUCAAAAAGAUGGCCUGAACUUUGGACUUACUGGAGCAAUUUAAAC